GAUGAACGCUAGCGGCGGGCCUAAUACAUGCAAGUCGAACGGGAAAGGUGGCAACACCUUGAGAGUGGCGUACGGGUGCGUAACGCGUAUACAACCUGCCUGUUACACGGGGAUAGCCUUGCGAAAGCGAGAUUAAUACCCGAUGGUACUAUUGAGCGGCAUCGCUUGGUAGUUAAAGCUGAGGCGGUAACAGAGGGGUAUGCGUCCCAUUAGCUAGUUGGUAGUGUAACGGACUACCAAGGCGACGAUGGGUAGGGGGUCUGAGAGGAUGAUCCCCCACCCUGGUACGGAAAAACGGACCAGAGUCCUACGGGGGGCCGAGGUAGGGAAAAUUGGGCAAGGGACGGAAGUUUGCCCCGGCCCCCCCGCGUGCAGAAAAAAGGUCCUUUGGAUUGUAAACUGCUUUGUUUGGGGAAGAAACCCCUUCUGGGGAAGGAAUUGCGGGUACUCAAGGAAAAAGCAGCGGCUAACCCCGG
rnacentral:rRNA from 1 species